rnacentral:rRNA from 1 species
AUUAAAUGAGAGUUUGAUCCUGGCUCAGGACGAACGCUGGCGGCGUGCCUAACACAUGCAAGUCGAGCGAAGUAUAUCUAAGUGAAGUUUUCGGACAGAACGAAGAUAUAUCUUAGCGGCGGACGGGUGAGUAACGCGUGAGCAACCUGCCUUUCACAAAGGGAUAGCCUCGGGAAACUGGGAUUAAUACCAUAUAAAACUUGCCUUUCGCAUGAAAGGGAAGUCAAAGCGAUAAGCGGUGAAAGAUGGGCUCGCGUCCUAUUAGCUAGUUGGUGAGGUAACGGCUCACCAAGGCGACGAUAGGUAGCCGGCCUGAGAGGGUGAACGGCCACACUGGAACUGAGACACGGUCCAGACUCCUACGGGAGGCAGCAGUGGGGGAUAUUGCACAAUGGAGGAAACUCUGAUGCAGCGACGCCGCGUGAGUGAAGAAGGCCUUCGGGUCGUAAAGCUCUGUCCUAGGGGAAGAUAAUGACGGUACCCUAGGAGGAAGCCCCGGCUAACUACGUGCCAGCAGCCGCGGUAAUACGUAGGGGGCGAGCGUUGUCCGGAAUUACUGGGCGUAAAGAGUUCGUAGGCGGUUUGAUAAGUCAGAUGUGAAAGGCGUAGGCUUAACCUAUGUAAGCAUAUGAAACUGUCAGACUUGAGGUAAGGAGAGGAAAGUGGAAUUCCUAGUGUAGCGGUGAAAUGCGUAGAUAUUAGGAGGAAUACCAGUGGCGAAGGCGACUUUCUGGACUUAAACUGACGCUGAGGAACGAAAGCGUGGGGAGCAAACAGGAUUAGAUACCCUGGUAGUCCACGCCGUAAACGAUGAGUGCUAGGUGUCGGGUAGAAAUAUUCGGUGCCGCAGCUAACGCAAUAAGCACUCCGCCUGGGGAGUACGUACGCAAGUAUGAAACUCAAAGGAAUUGACGGGGACCCGCACAAGCAGCGGAGCAUGUGGUUUAAUUCGAAGCAACGCGAAGAACCUUACCAGGGCUUGACAUGCCUCUGACGUUACUAGAGAUAGUAAUUUAUCCUUCGGGAUACAGAGGACACAGGUGGUGCAUGGUUGUCGUCAGCUCGUGUCGUGAGAUGUUGGGUUAAGUCCCGCAACGAGCGCAACCCUUGUAUUUAGUUGCCAGCAUUAAGUUGGGCACUCUAGAUAGACUGCCGUGGACAACACGGAGGAAGGUGGGGAUGACGUCAAAUCAUCAUGCCCUUUAUGUCCUGGGCUACACACGUGCUACAAUGGUCGGUACAACGAGCAGCAAACUAGUGAUAGUAAGCGAAUCUCUAAAAGCCGAUCCCAGUUCGGAUUGUAGGCUGCAACUCGCCUACAUGAAGUCGGAGUUGCUAGUAAUCGCGAAUCAGCAUGUCGCGGUGAAUGCGUUCCCGGGUCUUGUACACACCGCCCGUCACACCAUGGGAGUUGUCAAUACCCGAAGCCAGUGAGCUAACCAGAAAUGGAGGCAGCUGUCGAAGGUAGGGGCGAUGACUGGGGUGAAGUCGUAACAAGGUAGCCGUAUCGGAAGGUGCGGCUGGAUCACCUCCUUUCU